rnacentral:rRNA from 1 species
GACGAACGCUGGCGGCGUGCUUAACACAUGCCAGUCGAACGGAAAGGCCCUGCGUUUGUUCGGUGCUCGAGUGGCGAACGGGUGAGUAACACGUGAGUAACCUGCCCUUGUCUUUGGGAUAACUUCAGGAAACUGGGGCUAAUACCGGAUAGAAGCUCCUGAUGCAUGGUGGGGGUUGGAAAGUUUCGGCGGUGGGGGAUGGACUCGCGGCUUACCAGCUUGUUGGUGAGGUAGGGGCGUACCAAGGCUUUGAAGGGUAGCCCGCCUGGGAGGGUGACCGGGCACAUUGGGCCUGAGAGACGGACCAGUCUCCUACGGGAGGCAGCAGGGGGGAAUAUUACACAAUGGGCGGAAGCCUGAUGCAGCGAUGUCGCGUGCGUGAUGACGGCUUUCGAGUGGUAAACCGCUUUGUCCUUUGACGAAGCGGGAUUGACGGUAAUGGGUAAAGAAGCAACGGCUAACUACGUG